rnacentral:rRNA from 1 species
UACGGAGGGGGCUAGCGUUGUUCGGAAUUACUGGGCGUAAAGCGCACGUAGGCGGACUGUUAAGUCGGGGGUGAAAUCCUGGGGCUCAACCUCAGAAUUGCCUCCGAUACUGGCAGUCUCGAGUGCGGGAGAGGUGAGUGGAAUUCCCAGUGUAGGGGUGAAAUUCGUAGAUAUUGGGAAGAACACCAGUGGCGAAGGCGGCUCACUGGCCCGUAACUGACGCUGAGGUGCGAAAGCGUGGGGAGCAAACAGG